ACUCAAAUGAAUUGACGGGGACCCGCACAAGCGGUGGAGCGUGUUGUUUAAUUCGAUGGUAAGCGAAGAACCUUACCAGGGUUUGACAUCUCGGGAAGGUCUCCGAAAGGAGACUGUGCCUUUGGAACCCGAUGACAGGUGUUGCAUGGCCGUCGUCAGCUCGUGUCGUGAGAUGUUUGGUUAAGUCCAUCAACGAGCGCAACCCUUAUAGUUAGUUGGAUUUUUCUAGCUAGACUGCCCCGGCAACGGGGAGGAAGGAGGGGAUGAUGUCAGGUCAGUAUUACCCUUACACCCUGGGCUACAAACACGCUACAAUGGCCGGUACAAAGGGCAGCUAAGCCGCGAGGCGGAGCAAAUCCCAUCAAAGCCGGUCUCAGUUCGGAUUGCAGGCUGAAACUCGCCUGCAUGAAGCUGGAAUCGCUAGUAACGGUAGGUCAGCACACUACCGUGAAUACGUUCCCGGGUCUUGUACACACCGCCCGU
rnacentral:rRNA from 1 species